UCUGCGGUGGGUACGGGCAGACUUGAGUGAUGUAGGGGAGACUGGAAUUCCUGGUGUAGCGGUGAAAUGCGCAGAUAUCAGGAGGAACACCGAUGGCGAAGGCAGGUCUCUGGGCAUUAACUGACGCUGAGGAGCGAAAGCAUGGGGAGCGAACAGGAUUAGAUACCCUGGUAGUCCAUGCCGUAAACGUUGGGCACUAGGUGUGGGGGACAUUCCACGUUUUCCGCGCCGUAGCUAACGCAUUAAGUGCCCCGCCUGGGGAGUACGGCCGCAAGGCUAAAACUCAAAGGAAUUGACGGGGGCCCGCACAAGCGGCGGAGCAUGCGGAUUAAUUCGAUGCAACGCGAAGAACCUUACCAAGGCUUGACAUGAACCGGAACGGCGCAGAGAUGUGUCGGCCACUUGUGGCCGGUUUACAGGUGGUGCAUGGUUGUCGUCAGCUCGUGUCGUGAGAUGUUGGGUUAAGUCCCGCAACGAGCGCAACCCUCGUUCCAUGUUGCCAGCGGGUUAUGCCGGGGACUCAUGGGAGACUGCCGGGGUCAACUCGGAGGAAGGUGGGGACGACGUCAAAUCAUCAUGCCCCUUAUGUCUUGGGCUUCACGCAUGCUACAAUGGCCGGUACAAAGGGUUGCGAUGCUGUGAGGUGGAGCUAAUCCCAAAAAGCCGGUCUCAGUUCGGAUUGAGGUCUGCAACUCGACCUCAUGAAGUCGGAGUCGCUAGUAAUCGCAGAUCAGCAACGCUGCGGUGAAUACGUUCCCGGGCCUUGUACACACCGCCCGUCAAGUCACGAAAGUUGGUAACACCCGAAGCCGGUGGCCUAACCCUUU
rnacentral:rRNA from 1 species